AUUGAACGCUGGCGGCAGGCUUAACACAUGCAAGUCGAGCGGGGUGAUGGUGCUUGCACUAUCACUUAGCGGCGGACGGGUGAGUAAUGCUUAGGAAUCUGCCUAUUAGUGGGGGACAACAUCUCGAAAGGGAUGCUAAUACCGCAUACGUCCUACGGGAGAAAGCAGGGGAUCACUUGUGACCUUGCGCUAAUAGAUGAGCCUAAGUCGGAUUAGCUAGUUGGUGGGGUAAAGGCCUACCAAGGCGACGAUCUGUAGCGGGUCUGAGAGGAUUAUCCGCCACACUGGGACUGAGACACGGCCCAGACUCAUACGGGAGGCAGCAGUGGGGAAUAUUGGACAAUGGGGGGAACCCUGAUCCAGCCAUGCCGCGUGUGUGAAGAAGGCCUUAUGGUUGUAAAGCACUUUAAGCGAGGAGGAGGCUCUUUUGGUUAAUACCCAAGAUGAGUGGACGUUACUCGCAGAAUAAGCACCGGCUAACUCUGUGCCAGCCGCCGCAGUAA
rnacentral:rRNA from 1 species